UUUUCUCCAGUUUCCUGGACUGCUAUAUGGAGACAAAAGAAAUGGAAGGAAAAUGUGGUGAGUGGAAAUUUUCCAGAGGGAACAUACUCCGAAUUUCCAGGCUGCAGAACUUUCAAGUUGAAGGCUCGUCUUUGAGCAGCUGGAGCCACAGGCUCCCACCCAGCGGACGCCCUGGGAGAGCACAGAGCUUUCUCUUGUCUUUUCAUUGCGGAAAUACUAAAGCUGAAAGCAAGCUCUUGGCUCAGCCUUCACUUCACUCGAAAUCAAGAUGGGAGGUGGAGUCCAAUCCUCAUGCACCUGUGAGCAGGGACAGAAACGCCCCCGGGAGAGGUGUGGUCAGACGUCAGCUCUGAGACCACCUGUGCACCCGCCGAGGCAGGUGUGAGGCGGGAGACUUGGAGAAGCAGAGCAGAGGGAACAGUCCAGGCCCAGCAGGCCUAGGCCUGAGAGACGACCGCGGAGGAGGGGCUCCGUCAUGGGUUGUUCCCAAGCCCCCGCGUGGGGCCCGCGGUUUCCCUGCUUUCUAAUCAGGCCGUGGGGACUGCAGUCCCCUGUAGGGCUCCCUUGGCAGCUGAUGGGUGCUUGGACUGUAAAUCACCAACAUCAACCAUCCAGGCCAAAAUGUUAGACGGUACUGGGUAUGGUGGAGAGUUCACAAUGCAUUUCUGAGAGUGAUUUUCUUCUUUGUUUUUAACUUAACUUUGGUGGUUUUCUGCUGCCCAACAAUUCAGACUAUCUUCCGUAGUUAUUUCCUGAUACUGUAAAGAUCCCAGAAGUUAAACGAUGACUGCACCAGUGAGACCUGGCACAGGGGAGGGGAUCUCACGCAACCUCAGGUCCAAAGUCACCGGGAUCUCUGAGAUCAAAUUCUGAGCGCCAGUCAGUCCUCUGUGGCCUGUUGGGUCUGGGCAUGGGCAUCUCUGCAUCUCCUUUGCCUCAAAAGUUUUAGACCCCAAGAGAGGCCCUGGGUCCAGGUCCCCAGAACGGGAGGCUCAGCCCCAGCCCUGCGUCACGUGAGGCCCCAGGAUGACAGUCACCUCCUCCCUCAGUCUGUUCCCUGAUGUGGAGGGUGCAGCGGUUCCCACAUCUCGAGCUUGCUGUGAGGAAAACCGGGGGGGAUGUGGUGAGGCCUUUAUCCUAAUACCGACUGUACUUCUUGUAGGAGUGUUUGGGUUUGAGAGAAAACACAGUUUGUGUGUCCAGAGGAUUGCCUUUUCCUUCUAUGGCUGCUCACCCCUCACCCCACCCAGCUCAAGCCUGAACACAUGCCUGUGUCCACAGGUAUCCGCAGGAUCUGCCAACCCCAGAACUAGCUGUGAGAAUGAGUCAGCAGGGCUGCCCUGGAGAAGCACCGAAACCAAGGCAGCUGAAAUGACAGUAGCUCAUCCUCAGCGUGCUGGAGGCUGGUGUCCAAGGUCAAGGGGUGGCCAGGCCGGUUCCUUCCGAGGCCUCUCUUCUGGGCUUGCAGAUGGUGUCCUCUCCCUGUGUCCUCACAGGGCCGUCCCUCUGUGCAUGUCUGUGUCCUUGUCUCCUUAUUAAGACACCAGACCUAGCAAAUCGGGGCCACCCCAAUGACCUCAUUUUACCUUAAUCAUCUCUUUAAAAGUUUCUAUGUAGAAAUGCAGCCACCUUGGGGGCGCUGGGAGUUAGGACGUCAACAUAUGCAUUUGGGAGACACAGUGAGCCCAUGACAAUGAGUAGUUCUGAGCGUGGUGUGUGCAGCCGGCCCUGAGACCGUGCGCCCCAGGAAUGCAGUGUUUGCACACAGGUUCCCUCCUCUCGUGCUCCCCUGCUCUGUUGGAUGAAGCCGUCAGUCUGACACAGGUCACAGGCAUUGUAAGGCCUCCAGAGCCCUGGGACACAGGCGCAGGCUUUUGUAUGCACCGUAGCUGUGUUCUUAAAUGUCUUCAUGCAGGUCCUCAGGUUCCGGCCCUCCCCACACGCCGCGGCUGGCAGAACAGCGGAGGAGCGCUCAGGCACGAACAGAGUCAGGGUCAGCGCGCUGGUCCUCGGAACCACUCCGGGUGAGUUCAGAUUGAUUUUCCUCUCCCAGCCAAGGCCAGCUCUAAAGUUGUAUGGCUGCAUGAUUCCCCAAGAGUGCCUCCUGACGGGCCCUGUCUCUCUCCACCAUCCAAACAAACCCGUACACCUAGGAAUUCGCGUGGGCGUGUAGAGGAAGGCAGGGCUCUAGGGGGCAAGGUGGGCCUUCCUCCUUGAACACUCCCUCACCCUCAACCGCGGGAAAGAAAUGCAGGGUCCUCGCGUGCUGCUGGGCUGCAGCUCUCAGGUAGGGGCUGGCUUUCUGGAGAUGGUGGGCUCUGUCCCUGACGGAGCUGCAAUGCCGGUGAGCCUGUCAGGCCCCAAGAAGAGCAAGGCGGGAGGGCCACCUGCCAAGCUUGGGCCAAAGCCAGAAGGAGCCUAAACACCAAAGUGCCAUUAACCUCAAAUUGGGGGAAGGGCUUCCGACCUUGUGUUCUGUUGGAGAUGGAAGUCAUGCCCGGGACGCAGGGCUGAGGGCAAGGGGGAAGCCGGGGUAUACCAGGAGAGGAGAGGAGAGGAAGGGAGAGGAGGGGAGGGGAGGGGAGGGGAGGGGAGAGAGCCUGCUCUGCCUCCUUUAUCUUCCAUGUGGCAAGGCUGCGUCUCCCACCCACAGUGGACGGCCCUGAUGGCCUUGGCCAGCUCAGCUCUCGGUUUCUUGCUGGCGGCUCUGGGAGGAGCUGCAGCAGGCGGGGAAAUGCAGCGUCUCAAGAUACAGAGGAACCUCCCAGCACAGCCCGAGCCUCGUCACCGCCCCUGUCCCUCUCAACUUUAGAGUUGGCCUUGCCAUCAGAGAGGAAAAUCAACCUGAACUAACCCGGAACGGCUUUGAGGACCAGCAGGCUGACCCUGACUCGGUCUGAACCCGAGCACUCCUCCGCUGCUCUGCCAGCCCGGGCCUGCUGGGAGGGCUGGUGCAUGAAGAUGUUUAACAACACAGCCGGCGAGCACGCGGAAGCCUGCGCCUGUGUCCCGGGAUCCUGAGGCCGUCCGAGGUCUGUUAGGUGGCUCGUAUUACAUUUCUGCAGUGUCAGGCGGGGUCUAUAAAUCUCUGGAUAGAGGAAGCCCUUUCACGCAGUAAAGAGACGCGCUGGGCCUGGUCACCAUGGGAGAACCACACUAUGCCUGCCAGCCUGGUGCCCAGCAGGCAAACCAGGUGGUAACGAGACCAACAUGGACUUCCCUCCAUGUGGCAUGUCAGCACAACAUGAAGAAAUGAAGAUAUGGAUUUGAGGUGUCUGUGGCGGAGGACGUUGGCGUGACUGUUGAAGGCCAGUGCCUGCGUGGCACGUGUGGUCCUGCCUCGCACUUCUGAUGCUAGUUUGGUGUUUCGGGGGGAAUGAGAUGGGACCCACCUGUGCAAUCUGCACCUGACACCUGAAGCCCAGCGUAACUUCCCAAGGUGACAGCUUCAGGAUUCAUCAAAGCUGGAGCUGAGAAACCAGGAAGCCGGUUUACUCUGAAGAAUUCUGAGGCCAUGCAAAGUGUUUGUGAAAAGUGCAAAACAAUUCCAGUGACUUCUAUAGCAUCAACACAGUCAUUGCUGCAAUAUUAAAAUUUCAAGUCUUUGAGCAACUAAACCCACAGGAGAAAUAUGAAAUGUACACGUUGAUCCAACAGCUGAUUUGUAACUAAAGUCACUCUUGUAAGUUUAGGCAGGAAAGGAACUCUUUCUUUAUGUCCACAUUGGGACCAUUCGAACACAGAAGCACCAUCUUCAGAUGCCGCAGUGCACAGCUGGACCGUCCCUGCCUUCCCAGUGUGGGGCCUUGAGAGGCAUCCCAGUGGGUUCUGUGGGCCCCAACACACCAGGCAGAAGCCACCUCUCCUGGGCAGGGCCAUCUAUCCUGCCCCACACAAAGGAACUGACUCAGAUCUGCAACAGAGGGGACACAGGGCAUGUUCUGGAAAGGUGCCCAAUGUGACCCCAGCUGGGGUCUGGAACUUACGGGGUCCAAAAAGAGUCACCACCCAGGGAGCGGUGAGUACACGGGGGACGGGCGGGGGGAUUCUGGACACUCGCUGGGCAUUCAUUUAACUCAUCACCGGCAGCUUGGAGACAAAGGAAGGAGGGCGGCCUUGCUGGGCCUGGGGAAGAGCUUCUGGGACACCAUGCUGGCCAGAGAAACAUGGCAGUGACACACGAAGAACCGUGAAAAAGGGCCCUCCUUCCCUGGCCCCACUUCUUCAUGAAGCCCUCAGCGAGGUGCAAAUCAGCCUGGAGAAGGCACCUGUGCCAGCAAGGCCUCGUCCCCUGCACCUGGUCAGCUCUGCGCAGUGGGGAUUGGCAGCAAGCAUUGCACCUUCAAGCAUUGCACCUUCACGGGGCUGGGGCUGGAUUGGCCCACAAUCCCAGGAUCUAGAUGGAGGGUGGGCACCUGCUGGGAAGAGAAUGGAGAAGGCAAUGGGGCUCCCCCGGCCUCCCGCAGCAUUCAGGGCCAAGGAAUGGCUCUUUUCCAGCCAGGGCAUGGGUAGAGGCCACCUGCGUUCACCUCAGAGUAAGCGAGGUUAGAAGGGGCUUCUUCCCAUGACAGCUGAGUGAACGGGGGACCCCAGACAUGCGAACACUCUGCUCCCUUCACAUCCCAGGCACACCCCACACAAACUGGGCAAGUCUACUUUAUAACAAUAAAUAUGAUUGUUUCUUCUUCGUGUCCACAUUGGUGUCCAUUGGCCACAGCUCAGGCUCACUUAUUUUGUAUGGGAAGCAACACGGAUUCAUUUUCUAAAGACUCAGCUCAGCUCAGCUGAGGGGGAAGCUCAGGUGCUCAUCAUUCAAGUCCAUAUGGCUUUUGCAGCCACCGCAUCAGGCAAUGCCAUGGGCCCCCAUGUAGAUCUGCAGUCCCCACUAAGGAGGCAAAGACGCAGUGCCCUGACCAUGGGGAGCUCAUUCGGCCACAGCAUUGGGGCUUCGGGGCUGCUCUAAGGAGGCCUAGACCGCGCCGUCCCCGCCUGUCCAGACCCAGACCUUGCAGAUGCGCACAGUGCCAGCGUGCCAAGCCCCCGCACUCACAAGGCCAGUGCUCAUGGCCGCACACCAAGUCCUUGCUGGCUGGCAUUGCUGUUUCUGAACACACUGUCAGGAAGGCUCCCUAGGCAGUGUAGCCAGCUGCCUGGCUUGAAGCAACGGCCCGAUGGGGAGAGCUUGGGCCACCUGCACCCUGUGCUUCUUGGCUGGGUGUCCAGGAAGAUCAUGGUGCUGGGCUGAGUCCUGCCACACACAGGCAGAACUGGUGUCCUUCGAGUUGUGAGGAACCCAAGUCACCGCCAGGAGGGUUGUGGAAGACGUUGGGAAGACCUGGGAGGGCUGCACUUUUGUGAGCACAUGGAGCCCUGGGGAUGGGCUGAGCUGGGCUCUGCAGACCCUGAGGGCCUGUGCACAUGGGCAGGGCCCUGACAAAAGGGAGGCGGUGCAGCCUGGCUUCUGGAGGCUGAGGCAGCCAUCGGGAUUAGAGAGCACAGCAGUCACAGAUGGUGACAGGACAGAGCAGGAGAGAAAGUGGGGCCAGGGACAAGGCUUCACAGGGAAGCCAGAGGCAGCCUCAGUUCCAUGAGUGCCCGUGGGAAAUGAGACUUUCUGGUUGAAAUCAUAGCACUUUAGGAAGGUCAUUUAGCCAUCCUGAAGUCAUUUUGAGGAGGGGGUGAUUAUGAACCUGGACACUCUAGGGCACUUCCAUGGUUAGCCUUGUAGGGAGUGCACAGAUGUUACUGGAGUAUGAGCCUUGGCUGCUGCAGAGCUCCCUGAACACCAGAGUUCUUCUUCCUUGAUUGAGGCUGAGUCUCCAGUUGUGAAAAUCGAAUGUGUGCACUAAGUCUCUCUCAUAUUCUCUUUGGAAGUAGAGUGGAAGAGUUUGUGCAAAGAAAAACGUUGUCAAACACAAUAAUUGUGUGGAUUUGCAAUAGAAAUGUUCCUUUUUGCCCCAGGUUGUGGGCCCAUCUGCUCUAUGUCUGCUUGCCCCUGUCAGUUUAGAGUCCUGGAGGUCUGUACAAUAGUGGUUCAUGUCAUCGUGGGCUCUGCUGCCUUCCGAUCAUCACAGCAGGUUCCCAGCCCAGUCGCUGGAUGGGGGAGGGUGGGGACAUGAUUGAUAAUUGAGAUCCCAGAGGAGGCUUGGUUUCUAGAGCAAGCCCUCAAGUCCCCGUGGAGAACCCAGGAGCGGACCCAUUGCAGUGCGCACGAUGGGUCUGAAAAGGGCCUGGGUGGGGGAUCCCUUGGGCCAGAAACACUUCUGGUUUCCCUGGAACAAAGGCCUUGCUGCUGGGCUCACAGACUGUCAAUCAGAGAGUGGGAGGCGUCGGAGAGACCCGGCCCCUGAGAAACCAACAGCUGCGAAAAGGGAAUCCCUGUUCCUACCCCGACACACAGAGAGGUGAGUCAGGGAAUCACGGCCGCACUCAGCACAAUCGACAAUGACUCGGCAGCUCUCUCAGCUCAGGGGCUGUGUUUUCAACCACUCGGCUCUUUCUGACCUCCCGAGCUCCCGGCGUCUGUGCGCGCCUGGAGGACUGCUCUUCCGCUGCCGUGUGGCCUUGAACUUUAUAAAUGAUCCGCUCUCCAAAGGCUUUGACAGACCAUUAGGAUCGAAGAAAUCGGACAUCACUUCACCCUGUUGUCCAGUCCUGGGCACGCGUGUAACUUUCAAUGACGCAUCAGCACAAUGGGUUCGAGCUCCCCAUCGGGCUCCAGGCUUGAGUUCAGAGCUCAAUGCUAGCGUGGCUUGACCAGAAAGCUCUCAGCGUGGCAGUCAGGCCCCUAAGCAGCCACAUCCUUCCAUUCUGAGUGAGUGUGAGCCGUGCCCGGGAGUCGCUGAGGGGCUGUGGGCUGGUUUAGGUGCGUCAGGACUCACCCGGCCCCAGACGGCCCGGUCACAGACCCCAUGGCAGAUACGAAUAGCAGCGGACGAUUUUCAUUGCUCAGGUCCAUUUCGGAUGAAUGAGAACGUCGCCUUCUGGUCUUCAUCCACAAAGAGGCUCCCUUUGCAUAUUCAUUUAAUGUUAAAUUGAUGGAUUAAAUUAUACCAAGUUC